rnacentral:lncRNA from 1 species
AAAAGUUAAAACUAAACUUUGCAUAUAUAUUAAAAGUGUUGUAUUAAUUCCAGAAUAUUAUUUUUGGUAAGACAAGAACUGCUAACGAAACUGAUCAAAAGAAGAAGACAGCGUUAUCUAUCAAAAUAAUUUCAAUAAUGAUUAUUUUAACGCCUAUGGUCUGACCGCUAUCUGACUGCUAAGCUAUAAAAUUCUCGACGAGACACAGAAACAAAAACAAUCACCCGAAAGUCGUUAUGGAUCAUUAAGAGAAG